AAUCCGUAGAUAUCGGGAGGAAAACCAGUGGCGAAGGCGGCCCUCUGGAACAGAACUGACGCUGAGGCGCGAAAGCGUGGGGAGCAAACAGGAUUAGAGACCCUGGUAGUCCACGCUGUAAACGAUGGAUGCUUGGUGUGGGGGUCAAUAAGGAUCUCCGUGCCGAAGCUAACGCGGUAAGCAUCCCGCCUGGGGAGUACGGUCGCAAGACUAAAACUCAAAGGAAUUGACGGGGGCCCGCACAAGCGGUGGAGUAUGUGGUUUAAUUCGACGCAACGCGAAGAACCUUACCUGGGCUUGACAUCCCGCGCCCGCCCUAGAAAUAGGGUUUUCCCUUCGGGGACGCGGAGACAGGUGCUGCAUGGCCGUCGUCAGCUCGUGUCGUGAGAUGUUGGGUUAAGUCCCGCAACGAGCGCAACCCUUAUUGCCAGUUGCCACCGGGUUAUGCCGAGCACUCUGGCGAAACCGCGCGGGAUAACCGCGAGGAAGGUGGGGAUGACGUCAAGUCCUCAUGGCCUUUAUGUCCAGGGCUACACACGUGCUACAAUGGUCGGUACAAACCGUCGCAAACCCGCGAGGGGGAGCUAAUCGGAAAAAGCCGGCCUCAGUUCGGAUUGGAGUCUGCAACCCGACUCCAUGAAGCUGGAAUCGCUAGUAAUCGCGGAUCAGAACGCCGCGGUGAAUACGUUCCCGGGCCUUGUACACACCGCCCGUCACAUCACGAAAGUGGACUGCACUAGAAGCCGGCGUGCUAACCGCAAGGAGGCAACCGUCCAAG
rnacentral:rRNA from 1 species